rnacentral:lncRNA from 1 species
UCUCAGAGUCCCCACAAAUCCCUGCCUUGUUCACAACAGUUGGGGCUUUGUGCUUCUCUCUGAAAUAAAACUUUUAUCUUAAAAAAAGAAAAGAGAAUGUAUCCAAUAUAGUAUAUCAUAAUCACAGUAUUGGGAACUUUCCCAACCCUGGUGGGAAGGAGGAGGAAGUCGUGGGUUCACUGGGGCACAGGAAAAAAAUGCCAGAGAUGUCCACCCCUAAUUUUUUUCCUCUCCUCUUCUGGGUUUCUGUUGUAAUGGAUUGAAAAUACACAGGAGAUGUAAUGCAAAACUUGGCUUUGAUUUUUUUUUCCCACCUAACUCUUUAAAGGUUUGGAAAGAUUUGAUUACAUGGCAGGGAAAGUAAAAAUGUGGAUGAGAUAUCCUGACGCUCAGGCCACAUGACCAGGUGAUAAGGCGUUCAGAGACUGCCAGCGGCAGCUGCUGGCUCAGGUGCGGCCUGUGUGGGAGGACUCGUGUCUCGGUGGUUACAGAGAAGCUGGCUUCCACGGUGUGAACCCGACUGAAUCACAGGCCGCUUUUUUGUUCUCCCUCGGCCUUGGAGGGCCUGGGACGUUCCUGUUGCCCAACAUCCUGGUGAGCUGAGAACAUUCUGUAGAUUAAUUAGGUUCUCUCCUCUGGCUCAGCAGGUCUGUUCUAGCCAUUUGACCAAAGGCUCUCUGAUAUUUUCUACCAGCCUUAGAACGACAGUCUGCAGAUGUGUGCACAUAAAUGUCUGGGAGGAGCACACAGAUACUGUGGGAGGAGUGGGUCCGGCGUAGCUAUUGGGAGAUCUCGCUCGUACACAUGGCGCUACAUAGAAAGAAUGCCCUGAGGUGAAGGUGACAGCUCGGCAGUUUCUUAAUACCCUGAACUUGAGCGUGGCCUGCGCUAGAGAAAAUACACGGUGCUUCUUAAAAACAAAAGCCAGCAGCCUGCAAGAGGGCUGUGCCUGCGAGUUCCUGGGAGCAGGAGGGGGCUGUUCCUCCGCCCCUGGCUCCAGUUUCACCCAAGUCACUUCACAGCAGUUGGAAGGAGGUCACCAAUUAAUAACAGAGUACACCAGUCAUCAUAAGAAGAAAAAUUCACAUUUAAAGUUUGGAAAGCAACAGGACAAAGGUCUGUCUUCAGUGGUGCGUAGACAUGCUCGUGAUUGAAUUGGAAAUAGUUCUCUUUCCUUCUCUCUGACUUCCUAACUGAAAAGCUGCAGCGUGGGGAGAAAGGCUGCUCAGAAGCCUGGAGCCAGAACACGCACCCCGGCUUUUGCAGGGCCGGCUCACUUGGUUAGAAUCAAAGGAAAAGCCUUGUUAUUUGGGAAGCUGGGCGUCCUCACCAAAUUAGGGGAUUUAAUUUGCAGAUAUCUAAGGAGUGCUUUGAAAUGAAAGAUGAACUAAAAUCUGCUCUGAGGCCCGUGAUUUUUCACCAGUGAAGGACUCUCUUGCUGCUGGACAUACAUGAAAAGCAUCAUCUGAUCUGAAACGCAAGUCCCUGCAAGACAGAGGAGAGACUUUAUAAACAUUUUAUACCAUUCUAUGAAAUCAAUUCGAUUCAGGGCUAGAAUUCAAGAAGUAAUCCAUGGGCAAGUAUAUCUGAUGGUAAACCCAAACGAUUAUAUUGUUAACCUCUUGUACUUUUUUUAAUUUUUUAUUAUUUGAUAUUAUUAUCACAAAAGUCGCUGGAACAGGAUCCAUGAGCUGCUUCUUCACUGCUUAGUGUUUUCAGAAGCUGAUGGAUUAUUAAGCUCCAAUUGAAUACUUGAUUUCCAAUGAUUCCAUUAAUUUUUCUGGUUUGUGGUAGGAUUUGAUUUACUUAUUUUGUACUUUAACACACCAAUAAAAAAUAGAUACUAAGAAAUAGUGAAAUUUGUUGCUUCAAAAUAACCCUUAAAAUUUAGAGUUUAGUGAAAUUAAGCAAUUCAAAUAGAGAAACGAUUAUCCUUCAUUUCCUUAAGGCACAGAAAUUGAGACUAGGUUCAAGAACCUUCAUAUUUUAAAAACUGGAAAAUACUGGCUAAGUGAGGACUGGGCGGUCAUCCUCCACACAUGCUCUGUGUGCUUGGAGCGAAGAGGGGAACGCACUGAAUGAGAUGAACUGGAAGGAGGUGCAGCAGCGAAGGAAAUCCUUCUGUUGGGAGAGUUCACGUGUUUAGGAUAAUCCUUCGAAUAGGACGCAACAGUGAUGUGAGGAGAAGCUUUGGAGCUGAUUUAGAUUGAGACAGUCUAUCACAGGCUGUUUGGUUGCAUCCCUUUGGGGCCAGUCUCAUUUUAGGUCUAAAUAUGCAGGAAUGGGGCUCUGGCUUCCAGAAGUUUCAGGCUGCAAAAGGCUGGGGCCACCAUCUUUACAGAUAAUCCAUUAGUUUGAUUCUCUUGGGGGCCAGGAAGAAAACCAAGAACACUCAAUGGACUAUGGGACUCAAAUAAUCCACAGGAGGCGUUUGUAAAGGGGCAAAACUGUGUGUGCCCAGUAAUUCUUGGAGCUCGCAAUAGAGGUGGAGAAGCAGUGAUGGGCCCCACAGCAGCAGGGGCUUGGGAAUGACGGAAAAGAACAAAAUGAUGGAAGGACAGCUGGAAGAAACAGGGAAGCUUCCUUUUAACUGGAUGCUGGGUCUCAGCCUUGAAUAGUUCCUGGCCUUCGGAGGCCUUUUCUCAGGGAGCAUGGCCUGGGGACUCCCUGCUUGCUCUGCUGAGCUUUCAGGGAAGGAGAAAUGGGCAAGGCCAGAGGCGACCAUCAGGUGCUCCGUAGGCACAGAGGCAGAACUCAAGGUUUAGCUUUACCUUAAGAGGGUGACUGCAAAGUGUGCUCCCUGGACCAGGGGCCUCGGCCUCACCUGGGAGCUUGCUAAAAAUGCAAGUUGCUCUCACCCAGACUGAAUCUAAAAUUCUGGGUACAGCCCAGCAAUCUCUGCUCACACUUUCUCCAGAUGAUUCUGGUGCAAGCUAACCUUUCAAAAGUCCUGGGUCCCAUUCCCAGAGGCUGUGAUUAAGUUGGUCUAGGGCUGUGGCCUAGACCUGGGGAUUUUGGAAGCCCACAGGUGAUUCUGUUGUGCAGCCAUGGUUGGCAGGCUGUUCACGGUGCUGUUCAACAGGUCCUGCUGUGGGAUGGAAAGGGUCUGUAUCUGCACUGGCCAAUGUGGGAGCCAGCCCUGUGGCUAUUGAGCACUUGGCCCCUGGCUAGUGCAACUGAGGAGCUGAAUUUUUCAUUUCAUUUACUUUUAAUUAAGUUUAAAUAGCUAAAUGUGGCUAUUGUCUGCCUUAUUGGAUAGCAGAGUUCUAGAACCACAGAUAAAUGUAAUACUGUCCCUUUAGUUGAUUUAAAAAUCCAAUGCCUCUGUAAUCCUAGCACUUUGGGAGGCCAAGGUGGGCUGAUCACGAGGUCAAGAGAUCGAGACCAUUCUUGCCAACAUGGUGAAACCCCGUCUCUACUAAAAAUACAAAAAUUAGCCGGGCAUGGUGGCAGGCACCUGUAAUCCCAGCUACUCGGGAGGCUGAGGCAGGAGAAUCACUUGAACCCACGAGGCGGAGCUUGCAGUGAGCCAAGAUUGCACCACUGCACUCCAGCCUGGUGACAGACGGAGAUUCUGUCUCAAAAAAAAAUGCCUCACAGAGUUAAAUAUUUAAGUUGAUAAGAAAAAUGGUAGUCGAGUCUUUGAGGAUUAUUUUAAAAUCCACUUUUGGUGAUAAAUAGAUAAAAACAGUGUGGUAGGGCCCAGAAGUUCUUCCUGAUUUCUACCUGUUGGAGCUGAAUUCCUCAAUUUUACUUGUAGGAGAACGGCUUCCUAAAGGGCACCUUACCCAGCCAUUCCUGCAUGCAAGUGUGUAUGAGAACUGCAGGGGGCAUUAUAUGAAAAUCCAAUUCCUGGGCUCUAUCCCAGAUGUUCCUAUCCAAUAGGUCUGGGUUGGGGCCCUGGAAACUGCAUUUUUGGCAAACCCCUUACUGAUUUGGAUGCACAAGUUUCAAGGAACAGGCACUAAGGAUCGCUGAUGUAGAAUCUGUUUGUCCAUCCAGGAAAGCCAGAGUCACCACACUUGAGUAAAUGGGUUUUGAUGUAGGAAAGGUCUUUAUAAUUCUUUCAUGAAUUCACCAAACUUUAAAAACUGUACUAUUUUUGGCUGGGCUUGGUGGCUCACGCCUGUAAUCUCAGCACUUUGGGGGCCAAGGCGGGUGGAUCAUGAGGUCAGGAGAUCGAGACCAUCCUGGCUAACACGGUGAAAACCUGUCUCUACGAAAAAUACAAAAAAAAAAAAUUAGCCGGGCGUGGUGGCGGGUGCCUGUAGUCCCAGCUACUCAGGAGGCUGAGGCAGGAGAAUGGCGUGAACCC